CUUCACCGACCCGAGCAGCAGGGGCCGACCCUCCGGCCGGUCCUGGCCAUAGGUGGCGAGAAGCGCCUGGGCCUC
rnacentral:antisense_RNA from 1 species